UGCAUCAUGACACGACAGGAUGCAAGCCGCAACCAAGAGGAGAGUGGGCGGCGUUAACGCUACCUUGACCAUACCGCACACGCAGCGCUCUUCAAAUGUAACCAAAGCAUUCAGAAAGCAAUGAAACCUAUGCUUUAUUUUGUGGGGGGUCAAAACUUGUUUUCCUUGUGGGCUCCACUGUAAACUGAAAACAAAAUUGUAACUCCAGCUCUUGCUCCCUUUUGAUUUGAUGAGUCAAACUCGAAGAUCUUUUUCGAUGUGUGAAAAAGGCAUCUGUGUAAAGCUGGGUGUGAGGAAGCACUUCUCCUUUUGCGGGGGACGGUCCAUCCACCUCACAGAUGAGGACCAGAAGCGACAUUGAAGUGCAAGUAGAUGCAUUUACUACGUUUGAUGGUUUUGUUGUUGUUAUUAAUUAUUUAUGUGUUUAUUUUUAUGUUUUAUCAACAGACGUGCCUAUGUGGUGGCCAUGUUAACAGGGGCGGCAUUCCCAUUCAAGGCAAUGGAAAGCAUAAACGUUAUCUUAGCGAUGCCGGAGGCACGCAGCUCAAAAGGGGUGUGCCGUAUCUGCUUAAUAGGCGCAUUUUCACGUUUCUCGAAUGUACUGAUUUUCGUAUAGUAUACCAUUGUUUUUUUGUUUUUUGGGUCAAGCGCCCUAACCUCAUGCUCAUGAAAGCAACUGUCGGCAUGUAAUUAAAACUCUUCAAACAGUUG